rnacentral:rRNA from 1 species
UACAGAGGUCCCGAGCGUUGUUCGGAUUCAUUGGGCGUAAAGGGUGCGUAGGUGGCGCCGUAAGUCGGGUGUGAAAUUUCGGAGCUUAACUCCGAAACUGCAUUCGAUACUGCGGUGCUUGAGGACUGGAGAGGAGACUGGAAUUCAUGGUGUAGCAGUGAAAUGCGUAGAUAUCGAUAAGGAAGACCAGUGGCGAAGGCGGGUCUCUGGACAGUUCCUGACGCUGAGGCACGAAGGUCAGGGGAGCAAACGGG